CAGCCGCCACGGUAAUACGGAGGGGGCUAGCGUUGUUCGGAAUUACUGGGCGUAAAGCGCACGUAGGCGGCUUUGUAAGUCAGAGGUGAAAGCCCGGAGCUCAACUCCGGAAUUGCCUUUAAGACUGCCGAGCUAGCAGGUGAGAGAGGUAAGUGGAAUUCCGAGUGUAGAGGUGAAAUUCGUAGAUAUUCGGAAGAACACCAGUGGCGAAGGCGGCUUACUGGCUCAUACUGGACGCUGAGGUGCGAGAGCGUGGGGAGCAAACAGGAUUAGAUACCCGAGUAGUCCCUGUCUCUUAUAU
rnacentral:rRNA from 1 species